AAUAAAAGUCCCCUAGCAUUCCUCCCAUCUCCCAGAGAUAAGCAGUGUCAAUACUUCCCACACCUGUGCUAUGGUCAUAUUCUUUACUCAGUUACCAAAAAGGUAUCAAACUCUUCUUUAGAUUUUUGUUUUGUGUUGUGUUACUUAACUCAGUAGGCUAGCCAUUUUUUAGCAUCAACGCAUGCAGAUCUACCUCAUUCUCUUCCUAUACACAUAUCAUAAUCUAUUUAAUCAUUUGAUUUUUAGAAAACGUCUUACUUAUUAUAAAGAGUACUGGAAUGUGUGUGUGUAGGGAAGGCAUGGUAUUUGCAUAUUUGAGUAUUUCAGCAGAACAGGUUUCUAGAAGUGGAAUGCUGAAACAAAGCUUGUUAUUCUCCAGAAAGAUUGUACCUAUGUCAACUUUUCCAAAGCUGACAGCCAGCCCUUUUUCAGAGUGAAGUCCCUGGAUAAACUGGUCUUGUUGCCUUUUAAGGAGACCCAAGAUCCUAUUAAUUGUGGGAGCAUCUCAAUUAAGAAAAAUUCCUCCUCUAUCAAAGGCCAUGGCCGCAGUCAAAAUACCUCCCAUCGAUUCUCAACUGACUCAGUUUCAACUUCUCGUCUCUGUGCCAGUACUUGACAGGAAAUGAAGCGUCACCCACAUAGCCCAGCCCACACCACCAGCAGGGUGACACUGAGAUGCCCCACAAGACUCCUCAUCCCCACAGGACAUCCAUGUGACUGCUGAGUCUGGCAUAGACCCACCGAUACUCCAUCAUGAACUUCACAGAGGUCAAUGGGUGAUCGAGUUCCUUCCCAAGCAGGCGGAGGGGAGGAAGGUUGCUUGGGCUUCUGGGGGGGCAGGGUCCUUGGUGCAGGCAGCCCUCUGACCCAGCAAUCUGAGCUAGGGUGGGAGGAGCUGAGGAGUUCAGAGCCCACAACCCCAAACAACAGCUGACACCCAAGGUCAGACCAUAUUGUGCACAAAUCCAGGCUGUAUUGGUCCCAGUUACAAGACUGCACUCACGAUCUCCCAUAAAAAGGGAGCACUCUGGUGCUGAUGACAUGUGUGUACACACA